rnacentral:rRNA from 1 species
UACGUAGGUGGCGAGCGUUGUCCGGAUUUACUGGGCGUAAAGAGCGCGCAGGCGGUCGUCCAGUCGAAUGUGAAAGCCCCCGGCUCAACUGGGGAGGGUCAUUCGAUACUGUUCGACUCGAAGGCAGGAGAGGGAAGUGGAAUUCCGGGUGUAGUGGUGAAAUGCGUAGAUAUCCGGAGGAACACCAGUGGCGAAGGCGACUUUCUGGCCUGUUCUUGACGCUGAGGCGCGAAAGCUAGGGGAGCAAACGGGG